rnacentral:rRNA from 1 species
UACGUAGGGGGCAAGCGUUGUCCGGAUUUAUUGGGCGUAAAGAGCGUGUAGGCGGCCAAACAGGUCCGUUGUGAAAACUGGAGGCUCAACCUCCAGACGUCGACGGAAACCGUGUGGCUAGAGUCCGGAAGAGGAGAGUGGAAUUCCUGGUGUAGCGGUGAAAUGCGCAGAUAUCAGGAAGAACACCAAUGGCGAAGGCAGCUCUCUGGGACGGUACUGACGCUGUGACGCGAAAGCGUGGGGAGCGAACAGG